rnacentral:rRNA from 1 species
GACGAACGCUGGCGGCGUGCCUAACACAUGCAAGUCGAACGGGGCUAGGAAAGCUUGCUUUCCGAUGCCUAGUGGCGGACGGGUGAGUAACGCGUGAGUAACCUGCCUUUCAGAGGGGAAUAACGUUCUGAAAGGAACGCUAAUACCGCAUAAUGUACAGCUUUCGCAUGGAAGCAGUACCAAAGGAGCAAUCCGCUGAGAGAUGGACUCGCGUCCGAUUAGCUAGUUGGUGGGGUAAAGGCCUACCAAGGCGAUGAUCGGUAGCCGGACUGAGAGGUUGAACGGCCACAUUGGGACUGGAGACACGGCCCAGACUCCUACGGGAGGCAGCAGUGGGGGAUAUUGCACAAUGGGGGAAACCCUGAUGCAGCAACGCCGCGUGUGGGAAGAA